rnacentral:rRNA from 1 species
GACGAACGCUGGCGGCGUGCCUAAUACAUGCAAGUAGAACGCUGAAGGAGGAGCUUGCUUCUCUGGAUGAGUUGCGAACGGGUGAGUAACGCGUAGGUAACCUGCCUGGUAGCGGGGGAUAACUAUUGGAAACGAUAGCUAAUACCGCAUAAUAGUAGAUGUCGCAUGACAUUUGCUUAAAAGGUGCAAUUGCAUCACUACCAGAUGGACCUGCGUUGUAUUAGCUAGUUGGUGAGGUAACGGCUCACCAAGGCAACGAUACAUAGCCGACCUGAGAGGGGGAUCGGCCACACGGGGACUGAGACACGGCCCAGACUCCUACGGGAGGCAGCAGUAGGGAAUCUUCGGCAAUGGACGGAAGUCUGACCGAGCAACGCCGCGUGAGUGAAGAAGGUUUUCGGAUCGUAAAGCUCUGUUGUAAGAGAAGAACGAGUGUGAGAGUGGAAAGUUCACACUGUGACGGUAGCUUACCAGAAAGGGACGGCUAACUACGUG